ACUCCUGUUUGGACUUUUCUCUUUUCUUCUAUUUGGACUCAAACUUGUAUUAGGAGAAGUGUUGGGGCAUGUAGAAUUUUUGUAUUUUUCAAUACUCCCUUUCUUUCCUUUUCGCCGUACCGUUAAUCUACAGAGAAAAAGAACGAUGAAUUUUUCCGACGAGUGGAAGGGCUCUUUGGACAGGAUGUUCAUCCUUUUCUCCACCACGUCUCCUCUCAAAUUCACACGAAGAAUCCUCUUCGAAACGCCGCCGUAUUGAUAGUCCAAUAGGACCUUUGAUUUUCAGACCAUGUGAAGAAACGCUGACGCCACUCCUUCGCUCGCCAUUGUUAUCUACUCGGCUUCCUCCUCCGGUUCCUGACCUCUCUCUACCAAGAUUCCUUCAAACUUCAAGUGGUAUGCUUUUUUCUACAGCUUCUUCAAUUGCUACAGAGUUUACUCCACAGGUUUCUGACUCAAUUCACAACUUUAAUUCAAUCCAGUUUCUUCCACUUCCUAAUGUUGGUAAAAAUAGCAAACCCAAUUCAAUUAUAGGAAUUUCUCUAACGGGAGAGAAUUAUGACCAAGUUGGGUUAUUUAUGCUCUGUUCUGAAGAUACCCAAUUUGUGGCUAAGAAAUUCAAGAAUGGUACAUCUUUUUUAGUGCAUAAUCACAAGCUAAAUUUUAGAAUUUUGAGGUUAUUAGUGAACCCAGUUAGUGAAAUUGAUGAUUCUUGUUCUUCUAGUUAUAUUACUUUUGGGUAUUUAUUGGUUUGUACUUUGUAUUCUGUUCAUUGGUAUAGCGUAAACAUAGGGGUUAAAGGAGACGAAAAUGUUAUGUUAGAUUAUGUGGGUAGUGCUGAUAGAAACUUGUUCAAAGGUGGGACUGUUUGCCAUGCUUGUUGGAGUCCACAUUUGAGAGAAGAGUGUGUGGUGAUGUUGAAAAAUGGGGAUUUAUUUUUGUUUGAUAUGAGUUCUUGCGGAAAGAGUCACACUUUCUGUGCUUCUGAUGUAUUGCAAGGCAAGAAAUUGCAAGUUUUGUGGGGUAAGUUGGAUAGAGAUGAACAGUGGGUAAGCUGUGAAUUUAGCUGGCAUCCGAGGAUGUUGAUUGUUGCAAAUUCAAGGGCUGUAUAAUCCAUGGUCUGAAUAAUCCAGCUUACGUGACUGUUUUGAGAUUGUCUGACCUGAGGCGACGUAGUAGAGAUGAUAAAUGGGCUUGGGCUACUGAAUCAGGGAGUUGCAUUUUGGUAGGAUCAUUCUGGGAUUGUGAAUUUUCUCUAUUCUGCUAUGGGCCAGACAGCAAUCACAGCCAUAAAUUUUCAGAAAUUUCGAGGCUCAGUAAAUCUGUAUGUGCUUGGGGGCGACCUUUAGACCUCUCACUGUCUGGUCGUGAUUGCUGUCGUGAAAGUUGUCUUAUGAGAGAAUAUUUCUCUGAAGAUAUUCUUCCUGAUUGGAUUGAUUGGAGGCAAAAGAAAGUCAUUGUUUUGGGGUUUGGUAUUCUCAACAAUGGCCUUUCUAUCCAAUCAGAUGAUACUGAUAGCUCUGCUAGCUUUUUCCUUGUAAGGUUAAUGUCCUGUGGCAGUUUAGAAGCUCAGAGAUACACUGCAGCAUGGGACUCUGAGGAAAAAGUCAGAAGCACCUUAUGGAGGAAAUUCUGUGUGUUCUGAAAAUAACCUUCUAUAUGAUAUGGGUGUUGAAGAAUUGGAAUUGAAAAAGAGCCACAUCUACCUGGGCCUUGACUUUCUUAAAGAGUAUCUGAAUGGAAAACUACCUAAAUUCGUUAGUAGGAAAUACAUGGAGAAUCUAAAAGAUUCUGAAGAAAAUCGUUCAGAGUUCCACCAGCAAAUAUGUCAGAAGCUUCAAGAAUGUGGCGUCGCAUGACUAAAAUCAUCUCUAAUCGUUUCUGAUGUAAUCAAAGGUAUCAGCUUGCCAGCAAGCAUUUAUGAGAUUGCACUAGAAAGCAUUAGCACCAGUUUGCCUAAUAAUCUUCUGGGGUUCACUUUCUCUGCCUUCUUGAGAUUCCCUGAAUUUCCCCUGAAACCGAAGAAACCUUCUCUAGAAUUUUCUGACAUUUUCGACAAACUAUAUCCACUGCCUUUUCCCUUGCAUAAAUGUUGUAUUGAUGAGACACCAGAAGAAGUUCAGUCUUGCUGUUCUUCUGCUCCCGUUCUUCCUCCUGCUUUUCUGGUAGCUCUUAAUAACCUUCGAAUUGCAGAAAGAGAUAUAUUGCCACUUGAUGCUGAGUUGAGGCUUCAGAGUGAUAAAGUUAUGAAGGUGACCCAUGAAAUCGGUUUGUCACACUCUGGUAAUGAGCCUGAUGAUGGCUAUUCAGUUUCCCUUGAUGCAGAUACUGAGUGCCCUAGCGAUUGGUUGGAAAAAAUGAGGCCUCUCUGUUUACAUGAACGUGUGGCAUUCUCUGACUGUUAUAUCUCAAAAAUGGAUUUGGGAGUAGAACCUGAUAAAAGAUUUACAACCUUCAUCUAUAAAAAACAUGAAGAACCUAUCUCAAAUGCCAGCAAAGAGAUGACAGGAGUGGAGUUGUUCGAUGAGGGGUGUCCAGUAGAGCUCAAAUUCAAUGAUAGUCUCGCAACGCUGGGGGUAAAUGAGCUACAGAUUUUUAGAUUGUUGAAACAAAAGGAUUUAGGUUUUCAGAAAAAAUUUCAGUUGUAUCAAGAGUAUUUAACUGGAUGCCAUAAGUGAAGACAAGGUUCCGAGUUUUCCUAUUUACUUCCUCUUAAUUACUUUGCUAUUUUAUUUGAAAGAGGAUUUCUUCAGUAAAGUACUGUUAGGGGUAUCCAGUGUUCUCCAAGAAAUACUACUUUCAAGGAGGGAACCAUGUGUAUGAAAGAUUGAAAUGGAAGAAGCUGAAUUGUACUCAAUCAAGAAUUCAAGACAGAAUGGGCCCACGUCAGUCAAAAUUUCAUUUCAAAGAUAAUGGAACUCUAGUGGGUGAUUUGAUGGGAAGACCAAACCAAUUGCAAGACAUUAUCAUCAACUGAACAAUAUAUCCAUAUCUGGAUUUGCUUUUGCAUUCUGGAAGGUGCUAGUUAACUCAUAUUAGUAUCAAACUAGGCUCAUACUCACGGUUUAUACUAUUUUCAAAUCUGCUUACCUGUUUUGGUAGCAAUGUGGAGCAAGAAGAG